rnacentral:rRNA from 1 species
CAGUAGCCACGGGAAUACGAAGGGUGCAAGCGUUACUCGGAAUUACUGGGCGUAAAGCGUGCGUAGGUGGUGGUUUAAGUCCGUUGUGAAAGCCCUGGGCUCAACCUGGGAAUUGCAGUGGAUACUGGAUCACUAGAGUGUGGUAGAGGAUAGUGGAAUUUCCGGUGUAGCAGUGAAAUGCGUAGAGAUCGGAAGGAACAUCAGUGGCGAAGGCGGCCAUCUGGGACAACACUGACGCUGAGGCACGAAAGCGUGGGGAGCAAACAGGAUUAGAUACCCCUGUAGUCCCUGUCUCUUAUAC